AGCGUUGUUCGGAAUUACUGGGCGUAAAGCGCACGUAGGCGGCUAUUCAAGUCAGGGGUGAAAUCCCGGGGCUCAACCCCGGAACUGCCUCUGAAACUAGGUAGCUAGAAUCUUGGAGAGGUCAGUGGAAUUCCGAGUGUAG
rnacentral:rRNA from 1 species